rnacentral:tRNA from 1 species
AAAUAAGAAGCAAAAAAUUUGUAUUUAGUUUCGACCUAAACCUUGAUGUUAACUCAUCCUUAUUUA